AUGGAAUUUCCAAACUUCUGGUUUUUAAAAGUACUUAGACUCCUCAUUCACAUAUUCCAAGCUCUCCAUGAUCGAGGAUGGGGUCCUGCAGACAACAGCUUUUCUUGCCCUGCAAUCCUGACCAGCUCUACAGGCAGUGCUCCAAAGUCCUUUCUCCAACUAAUAAGAAGUGUACUUAUAGGGGGGGAAAUACAUGAGCACAGUGUAUAGCAUCCCUUUUCAAUUAUUCAACAUAAAUAGGGCAUUUAAUGAAAAAAUAUAAUGAAGAAACCUCCAAAGCACAUGUCCUAACUUUGAACUUGUAUAUUUGGCUCGUGAGCAAAUGUUCAGAGGUACAGCAAAAGCUGAACCAAUGACCACCUCUUUAUCUCAAGACUCUGAAAGGUUCUAGUUCCUCUGUAAUUUACAGCAGUGAAGGCAACAAGGAAUUGUUUUAACAUGGAAUACAGAAAAAAAUGUUAUUUUAUUCCUACCUAUGUUUUCAAGCAUUUGGAAGUCCUUUUCUUCCCCACAUGGGACAAAACACUUCAGUACUAAUAACAGAUUAUCAGCAGUUGAAAAUAAAGGUCACUGACACUUAUUGGAAACUUUAUGAGUGUAUUGCAGUCAGUGUGACCUACAAUCUGUUAUGUUAAUUAGUAGGCAGCAAGUUGAUUUUUCAGCUAGGUCUGUUGGGGUUUUAUGAAAAGCAUCUGAGAUUGGACUGGUGUAACUAAAGAGAGAGCACGGUGCACAAGUAGGAGGGUGUAAUGGACCGGUGAAGCAGGAAGAACUGGCCAAGGGACAGGAAGUGAGGCCAUAAAGAAAAGGGGUCAAAGCAAUAACUGUUGCAAGAACACUGUCUGAGAAAGCUGAAAGAAUUGCGUGGGUUGAGGUUUACUCCAGGUGAUGUCUGUCAGCUUGCCAUUGGCAGGGCUGCAUCUGGAAAGGUGGGUUGCAAUCCGUUAAUUUUCCUCAACAACCUCCUAAAAUACAAGAGAUGCCAGUUCCAUUUCUCAACCCCUACACAGAGCAAGGCAGGUGUAUAUAAGGAAGUGGAAGUGGAUGGUCUGAGGCAGUAGUAAGGUCAUGGAAUGAAUUAAACAGAGAUGAAUUUGUGUAAUUGAAGCAUAGUCUAGGAGAAUUUUUUUGUAUAGGGAAUGAAGGAAGGGAGAUAAGGCUAUCCCAGGAAUGCUGGAUUAUGAAGGAGGUUUCUCAAGCGAGGAGAAGAUUUUCACUAAGUGAAUUGUGCCUUAUGGUAUCUCAUUGGCUGGUUCUUUGUGUUCAUACAGAGGACUGCUCCACAGAGUUUUCUGCCAUCCUGUAAAAUGCCUGUUGCAGAAAGCCCUUUCACAGAAGGAGGAUGUUCCAGUUAUUACUAGCCUUUUGGUUUUUUUUCAAUUUGUGAAUCCCUUGCAAGAACAGUUGUCAUGUGUUUUGGAUUCAACCAACCCAGAUACAAAUAUACAGCAGAGGAAUACAACAUGACACAGAACCAGCUAAGUAAAAUCUGUAUCUUGCUUAGGAGAAUGGAGAGAAUGUGCUUCAUCAGGUUUUAUUUAAACUCUGCUAUUAUGCUUUUUUGCCACAGAAGAUGUUAAAAGCUGAUGUCAGCCCUGAAAAAUCUACUGUUGGACCAAAUUUGGCUCUGUAAUACUUCAUUUACUGUUUUACGUAAAGCUAUUUGAAAGCUUUAGUAAAGCUUUGUGUAUGAUUGUUAGUUUAUGUGUCCUAUUACACACACUGGUCCUCCUAGACUGUACAUUGUGAGGUUGCUGCAUUUAAGCUGGAUUUUGAUUGUAAAUGAUAUUUGAAAGUGAACAAUCAAGAAGUCAAGACAACCUUAGGAGUUUUAUUCCCCAAACUGAUGAGGUGGAGGUGCAUGUCAAAAGUGAUGUGGGUGCAUGGCCAGAUUGUUGACUUCUGUUAGUUCAGUAGCAGAACCAGAAAUCAGUGUUGGUCUAGGCUUUGGGGACAAAUACUGGCCCCAGUUCUGGGGCCAGAGUAUUCGGUUAGCAGUGCCUCCUAAGGAAAAAUCUUAAGAAAUAGAGAAUCUUAAAAUCUUUAGAAAUAGAGGAGCACCUUAGAAACCUUUGUCUAACCACAGAAGAAUCUUGGGAAUAUGAGUGAUACAAAACCCCUUCCCAAAACCAGCUUAUGAGGUGUUUUUCUGUCACCAGCUCACUGAAGGUCUCUAAAGUGCAGCGCUCUGUUGCAGCGCUCCUGGGUUUAUUAGUGUUGUUGGCUGUUGGGUGAUCCAGCAGAACAAUGUAAUGUAACUCCAAUUAUCCCUUACUAAUUCCUGCCAAGAAGAAAAUAACCUGCCCUGCUUUGUUAUGCAGAAAGGCUGGCUAUUGAUGGAGGUGACAACGGUUAUUGUACUGGACAUUUAGCUGAUAAAAGGCGUGCCCCAGUGCUUCUUGAGGAUACCCUGCAGAGAUAUCAACCAGGUGAAAUUUGUAACUAAGGAUGGAUGAAAACUGUGGGGAAGUUGAGUUUUUCUAGUAAUAAAAUUCUACAGAAAAGAUGGGAUUUGUUUAAAUGUGAGGCUAGAAGAUUGCAAGCUCAUUUUAAGUUCACUUCGCAUUGCUGAGGGAUGCCUAUAAGUGAAGGGACCACAAAAGUUGUUGAAACUGUCUAAACUUGUAUUUCAAGUUCUAAUUAGUUAGUUUUACACAGGGUUUUAACUUUAGGGAUUAAUCAGGCAUGAGCUCUUGGAAUUUAGGCACAACGCAACUUCUCUGAAGGCCUGAAGUACCAGCUUGUGCCAGUUUGUUCUUUAAAGUGACUGUCUACUUUAAGAAGGGAUACAUUAAAAUGGUAGUGCAGCCCUGGCAGCAUAUUCCGAGCUCUUUUAGUUGAGCUUGAUUCUUGCUCAUCAGAUGCUAUACUUAUUUCUCUUUAACAGUGUUAAAUUUGAUUUUUUGAUACAUAAACCUAUUUAAUAGCAUUUUGUCAUGCUUGCGUAGGGGAGGGAGCAAGAGAGGAAAAGGGUAGCACAGGAGGCUUUGCAGUUGGGACCCUGCUUGAAACAUGAGCCAGAGGUGAAUGCAGCUUACCCAUCCUGUUCUAACAGACUUCUUGCAUCUUUCUGCUGCUACAACAAAACUGUUCCAUUUCUAAAGCAUAACAGCAGAUUUACGGAUGGUGUUUCCACACUGUUGCUUUUCAGGAUUUAUUUGAACUAUGUUUUGUGGCUUCUGGUAUUUCAAAUGUCUUGUUAUUACUUCACCAUGUAAGCCACAGCCAUGAAUCAGCCCUAUGUGAUGGAGCCUCUAUGCUCAAGGUAACUAGAAACACUGGGACAACUAUGAAAUGAAGAAAGAGAGAAGAACAUCUGGAAGAAUGGAUUAUGGAAAGUACUAUGCAAGACAAGUUUGCUGGGCAAUACUUUUGAAGAGAUGUCUAAAUUAUGCUUUUCCCUAAGAGUUUCAUGACAGUUGAGAAAAAGCAUGUCCAAAAUCCGGUUUUACAUGGGCCUGUGUGGUUUCUGGAUGGCUAAAUGGAACAAACAGUUUUCCAGUUGCUGUGCUGUCAGUUGAAAAUGCAAUCAGGGCUGCUCUGUUGUGUGUGAUACCCUAAUUUUAUUUUCCUUUUAAAAAGGAAAAGGUUAGACUGAUUGAAAUGGCCGAGAGCAUGAGGAUUUUUUACAAGAGUAAUAUUCCCCCCCAAAAAGCUGUUUUCUUUCUCAACUAGUGAAAGCCAACUUUCAGAAAUACAAUCACUGAAAGCAGAUGUUUCAUUCAUCUACAUGCAAAUUGCCACUAUAAACCAUGCUUGAGUCUCACAGUGAAGAUUGGAAGUGACAUAACCUCCGAGCAAAACUGGGAGCUCAGCCUGUUUCUGCAUAACAAGUGCUGUAGGUGAUUGAAAGCUGUGAAUUUUCCAUCACUUUCUCACAGGCUGCCGAGUGUCUCAUUUCAUUGGCAUUUCUGUUUCUUCCUAAUUUCAUCACUGGAGAGUUGAAUUCUUCACCUUUCAACUCCUCCUGUAUAAACCUGUGGUCAGCAUCAAUAAAUGUGCCAGCUAAGAUGGCACACUCCACAGGCUUCUCUGCACUGCUGGAUGAAAUACUGAAACUUAAAUGAUUUCCAUUAUACAAAGCUGUUGUCUGAUGAGAAUUCUGCUGCCUAUUAAGCCCCAGGAUUUGAUAAACUAAUGCUGUGGUGAAAGCAGUGAAAUUUAUUCCCAUUAGUCAUUAUCUCAUCUGUUUUCCUUGGUUUUUGAAAUUUGACUUCUCUUCAGACUCGUAUGCCUACUGGAGAGACAACUUAUAGCUGUGAUGUUCCUUGUUCAC
rnacentral:lncRNA from 1 species